UAGUGUAAUUAGUAACACCUGUUAUCUUCUCUGUUAGCAUGCUAAUGCUAGCGAGUGGAAAGCAUGCUUUUCUUCGUUUUCCCUUUUCUUUCUACAGUUAGCAAGAGAGAAAAUUAAGAUGUCAGACAUGCUGCGACAGGCUGAGCCCCCAAGAUGUUGAAGCAGGAGGAAACGCAGGAAUCAAGGGGGGAGUCUGUCUCAUCACCGCAGGCCUCACUAAACCCAAUCAGGCCUGCAAUGAGUAGCGUCAUCAGCAGAUGAGCUAUUCUCCCCUCGAGACGCCGCCCCCCCCACCGUCUGAUCUCUGUGGGUUCAGGAGGCGGAGCUCAGCCCACCACUGGAAGUCCUGUGUUGUAGACCAUAAGGAAACGCCAUUAGAACAUCACCACCAAUAUUUAUGCAAGGAAGUUCUUCCAUCCCAGUUUCCACCCUCAGUCUAGCAACAGCUGAACUUCAAAGCUCUGAAGACACAUUUCUUCCUCUCGCUGGCGUGUGAUUUCAUCUUUCCGUGGCUUUGUCUGACUCGUGAAUCCGACUGGAACCUGGAGCGAGACCUCACCAAGCGGAUCUUGAAGUCAAACUCUUCUUUUCAUUAAAGAUGACUUUGAAGUUCAAUUAAAUGCUCAAUCUCUUCCAUAUUUUAUCAUUCUGAAAGGAUGUAAAGGUCAGGAGAUAUGCAUCAGGUCAAGUCUGGCUUGGACUUCGACGUGCGGCUGAAUCCAGCAUUCGUACGUCCAGGAAACUAAUUGGAGCCGACAAGGUUCCUCUGUAAAGCAACAUAUCAGGAGACUGCAGGACACAGGCCGACUUCACAGAUAAACAUCUUGGCUCCAAAUAGACAAUUAGCGUGUUUUCUUCAGGACGCCUGAUUUGAAAGAUCAAAGACACCUGGGGCUCGGAUCAUCGGCUCCGGCGGACGUGUCCCUGUCCCUCUUGCUUAUUGUCACCCUCCCAAACGCCUGCUCUCCCUCCCCUAUGUGCUGCGUUCAGUGACCUCAGGAGAUCUGUGACCCUCAGGCCUCAGGCCCCGGGAGCAGCUGUUUCACACCACCACGACUUUCCUUCCGUGAAGGUUUAUGGUGGGAGGGUGGAAAUGAUCAGACAUGGGGACGUGUGCUCCCCGUCCAUGUGUAACUGGAUCGGAUGGAACUAUUGGAAACACUUUAGGACUUUAUUUGUUUUUUACUAAAUGUGCUAUUUCCAUGGUAACACAAAAUACAUAGUAAAAAAUGCUGCUUAGUUAAACAACCUUGAUAACCAAAGAAUAUUUUUGUCUAUUUAUGACAUGUUUUAUAUUUAGGGUGUAAUGCCGUUUAAGUGUAACAACAUAAAUACAAGUGUUAUGGAUUAAGUAAUCAAACUAAUGACUUUUAUCAGCAAAAGAAAGAUUUGUGAACCCUUAGGAAUUACUUGGUUCAUGCAUAAACUGGACACACAAUUGCGUUAAAAAAAAAAAAAAA